rnacentral:rRNA from 1 species
GAUGAACGCUAGCGGCAGGCUUAAUACAUGCAAGUCGAGGGGCAGCAUGAUUGUAGCAAUACAAUUGAUGGCGACCGGCAAACGGGUGCGGAACACGUACACAACCUUCCAAUAAGUGGGGAAUAGCCCAGAGAAAUUUGGAUUAAUACCCCGUAACAUAACGAUGUGGCAUCACAUUGUUAUUAUAGAUUUUUCGCUUAUUGAUGGGUGUGCGGCUGAUUAGAUAGUUGGCGGGGUAACGGCCCACCAAGUCUACGAUCAGUAGCUGAUGUGAGAGCAUGAUCAGCCACACGGGCACUGAGACACGGGCCCGACUCCUACGGGAGGCAGCAGUAAGGAAUAUUGGACAAUGGACGCAAGUCUGAUCCAGCCAUGCCGCGUGAAGGAUUAAGGUCCUCUGGAUUGUAAACUUCUUUUAUAAGGGACGAAAAAAGGCUUUUCUAAGUCGUCUGACGGUACCUUAUGAAUAAGCACCGGCUAACUCCGUGCCAGCCGCCGCAGUAAAAC